rnacentral:misc_RNA from 1 species
GUGAUGCAUUAAAUCUGUUUUCUUGGCGUGAAUUUGGUCUUUAGUAAUAAGUUUAGGCGGUAAGUUUCGCUGAUGGGCUUUAUCUUAAUUUGUUAAACAAUGCACUCAGUUGAUUGUUAUUUCAUUCUUGAAAUUACGCUUGCUGAUAAUAUUUUUUCUUAAUUGCUAGUUCUUUAAAAUUUAAAGGGCUUAUAGAGUGAGGAUAUCUGUCUGCUUGUGAAUUUUUAAAUUGUGGCAAUUCAGGACUUGUAGUGUUUGGCAAAUUGAGCAGAUUAGCUUAGAGAAACAACCGCUCCCAUCGCCCAUUUUAAGGCUCCUCCCUUCCUUUUUUGUCAAACCUGAUGCAGGUAAAUUAGUGAGCCCAUGAUCCAACAACUGCAUUUUUGAAGAUUUGGUUUUUUCAAACUAGAGCUUUAUUAAUUCAUUGUAAUGCACCUUUUCUGUAAGAUUCUUGGAUUGAGGCAAGCAUUUGCAUUUCUAAAGUGUCUACUUCAUGAGCCCUACAAUUGGGUUUGUACAGCAUUUUUUUUCUUCUGUUUG